GGAAUAUACAAAUGCUGAUGCGUGUAGUCUGUCUGCUAAUCUCAUUUUAAAUCUGAAGAAGAUAAUUUCGUUGUAUUAACUGUGACCAGAUUUGUCGAUACGAAUCUGGGGCUAUAUAUGACAUGUUAAUCUUACAAAAAACGAUACCUUUUGUGAAGACAGUGAUCUCUUACCCGGCAGAAUCAGGGUCAGCGCCGAGCCACGACCACCACCGUCACAUUCCACUCUGAACAGGGUGCUUUGAUGCAUCAACACACUAAAAUUCGGCCUUAUUUUUUGCCGCGCACCAAAAGAGUGUCGCGAUGAAUGGUGAUUUUCACUGCUCAGGGGCGCUCAUUGCUCACUCGCAGCCCAUCGCGUACCCCGGUGUGGGUGUCGAUAUGCGGCUCUGGGAAGGUUCUUGCUUACAUUCAAUUACAUAACUGUGUUUUUACGUAUAGUUUGGGAACAUGUGCUUGUCAUUUCAUUUGAGUUUUACGUUUAUUUGCCCGUAAAUUGUGUUUUAUAUAUAUUGUAAAUAACGGAAUCAAUAUCAUAUUUAUUAACAUCAAGGGCCUAGAGCAUCAAACAUUGUGACAUGCCGUAGUAAGGCACAAUAUAUUGGCUAAUAACGCUGAUUUGUAAUGUCUGAUAAUUUAGAAGACAAAUAUAUAACAGUAGUCUUCGGCUUGAAAUGCAUCUUUGUAAAUAGUUUAGUAUGGUGUAAUUGUUAAUAUAAAUUUAUUUUAAAAA
rnacentral:misc_RNA from 1 species